rnacentral:rRNA from 1 species
GACGAACGCUGGCGGCGUGCUUAACACAUGCAAGUCAAGGGGGCCCGCAAGGGCAACCGGCGAACGGGUGCGUAACACGUGAGCAACCUGCCUUGAAGUGGGGGAUAGCCGGCCCAACGGCCGGGUAAUACCGCAUACGUUCCUUUGGUGGCAUCACUGGGGGAAGAAACGCUUGACGGCUUCAAGAGGGGCUCGCGGCCUAUCAGCUAGUUGGUGGGGUCACGGCUUACCAAGGCGACGACGGGUAGCUGGUCUGAGAGGAUGGCCAGCCACAUUGGGACUGAGAAACGGCCCAGACUCCUACGGGAGGCAGCAGUGGGGAAUCUUGCGCAAUGGCCGAGAGGCUGACGCAGCGACGCCGCGUGGGGGAUGACGCAUUUCGGUGUGUAAACCCCUGUUGCUCGGGACGAACGAUCCUUUUCGAGGGAUGUGACGGUACCGAGUGAGGAAGCACCGGCUAACUCCGUGC